CACGUAGGGGGCGAGCGUUGUCCGGAUUUAUUGGGCGUAAAGAGCUCGUAGGCGGUUUCGUAAGUCGGGUGUGAAAACUUCAGGCUCAACCUGGAGCCGCCAUUCGAUACUGCUAUGGCUAGAGUCCGGUAGGGGAGUGUGGAAUUCCCGGUGUAGCGGUGAAAUGCGCAGAUAUCGGGAGGAACACCGAUGGCGAAGGCAGCACUCUGGGCCGGCACUGACGCUGAGGAGCGAAAGCGUGGGGAGCAAACAGG
rnacentral:rRNA from 1 species